UGAGUGACACCCAUGACCAGUCGAAGCGUCUGUUGGGUGGGUCUAAACCAGAAUAAUAACCUUUGUCUUCAUUGGGAUUCCAAUACAUUUGACUAGACAUAUCCACUGCAGUGAUGGCUGGUGCUCUUGGUCACUCUCCUAGCAGUGGUCACUGCGACAAUGUGAUUUUACCGACAAAGGACCACGAAGAGGCAAUGUCAAAGAGCAGGACAGCCCGAAGUCCCCAAAAUCCUCCCCCAGAGCAUCCUGAAGCGCGCCAGAGAAAGACAGAUGUCACUGAGGAAGAGGAGGAGGGUGAUGAUGAAACUGACGUUAACACCGUCAGUUAGAAAUGUUACACGGCUUAAACCGGACAGCAUGCUUUCAAAUGUUUACUCCUUGAUGAAAUUUGUCUGUGUUAUAUGUAGGCAGGUAUAUGCUGCAAAUAUGAUAUUUUUGUACAACAUUCACAUUUGAUUAAAAUAUGUAUUGUUCAACCAAAACAACAAGAUGUUUGGUUAAGUAAUACUGAUUUAUGUCAUAAAAAAAUAGAUUUAGAAGCAGUGAAAUUAUUGUCACAGUAUUGUUACAGUAAUUAACCCUUCGCAAAAUAACCUCCCUUGGUUACUGUUGUUAAGUCGGACAAGCUUAGACUUUUAUCUUCCUGCGAACAUGGAGAAACACACAGUAAUAAUACUAAGGGAACUCCCAAAAUAGGUACUCGGUAUUUUUGAGACAACCAUCAAUUAUACUCAUAUAGGAGCAGACAAAAAGGCCUUCAAUGGAACUCUGGAGAGCCCAAGGUGAAAUGUCCACUACAAGCUUGCCACAACAAGGGUUGGUGCCGAAACUAAUCAGUUGGACGGGCCUUUGAUAUAUUCUUCUUCUUUGAUGGGGUUUAACGGCGGUUGGAAUCCAAUGUUAUUGUGAAUUACCGCCACCAGCUGGACGGGGUAUUCAAACAUUGCAGGAAAGGGGAAAACAACAUCUUACAAAAUUAAACAAAUCAACUCACAAAACCCAUCCACUUCUUCAAUCCCAGUCCACUCCACAAUACAUCUCUACACAGGCUCAGGGGCCUGUGAUGGCGAAACAUCCACCGACAGGAUUUCUUGCACAGACUUGGCUGUGAAAUCACAAAGACUCCAAAAAAAUUCAGCUGCAUUCACAAUGAUUCCAAUU